rnacentral:rRNA from 1 species
UACGUAGGGGGCAAGCGUUGUCCGGAUUUAUUGGGCGUAAAGAGCGUGUAGGCGGCCAUGCAGGUCCGUUGUGAAAACUCGAGGCUCAACCUCGAGACGCCGAUGGAAACCGCAUGGCUAGAGUCCGGAAGAGGAGAGUGGAAUUCCUGGUGUAGCGGUGAAAUGCGCGGAUAUCAGGAGGAACACCGGUGGCGAAGGCGGGUCUCUGGGCAGUUACUGACGCUGAGGAGCGAAAGCGUGGGGAGCGAACAGG